rnacentral:rRNA from 1 species
GCGCCUAUACAUGCAAGUCGAACGAGAAUGUGUAGCAAUACACAUGUAAAGUGGCGAACGGGUGAGGAUUACAUGGGUAACCUACCCUCGAGUGGGGAAUAACCAGCCGAAAGGUUGGCUAAUACCGCGUACGCUUCCGGAACUGCGGUUACGGAAGGAAAGCGAUACCGUGGGUAUCGCGCUCUUGGAUGGGCUCAUGCCCUAUCAGCUUGUUGGUGAGGUAACGGCUCACCAAGGCUUCGACGGGUAGCUGAUCUGAGAGGAUGAUCAGCCACACUGGCACUGCGACACGGGCCAGACUCCUACGGGAGGCAGCAGUAGGGAAUAUUGCGCAAUGGGCGAAAGCCUGACGCAGCGACGCCGCGUAAGGGAUGAAGGUCUUCGGAUUGUAAACCCCUUUCGGGAGGGAAGAUGGGAUGGGGUAACCCAUUCGGACGGUACCUCCAGAAGCAGCCACGGCUAACUUCGUGCCAGCAGCCGCGGUAAUAC